rnacentral:tRNA from 1 species
GCGGGAGUAGCUCAGUGGCAGAGCGCGACCUUGCCAAGGUUGAGGUCGGGGGUUCGAAUCCCCUCUCCCGCUCCA